AUUGAACGCUGGCGGCAGGCCUAACACAUGCAAGUCGAGCGGUAGCACAGAGAGCUUGCUCUCGGGUGACGAGCGGCGGACGGGUGAGUAAUGUCUGGGAAACUGCCUGAUGGAGGGGGAUAACUACUGGAAACGGUAGCUAAUACCGCAUAAUGUCACAAGACCAAAGAGGGGGACCUUCGGGCCUCUUGCCAUCAGAUGUGCCCAGAUGGGAUUAGCUAGUAGGUGGGGUAACGGCUCACCUAGGCGACGAUCCCUAGCUGGUCUGAGAGGAUGACCAGCCACACUGGAACUGAGACACGGUCCAGACUCCUACGGGAGGCAGCAGUGGGGAAUAUUGCACAAUAGGCGCAAGCCUGAUGCAGCCAUGCCGCGUGUAUGAAGAAGGCCUUCGGGUUGUAAAGUACUCUCAGCGGGGAGGAAGGUGCUGAGGUUAAUAACCUCAGCAAUUGACGUUACCCGCAGAAGAAGCACCGGCUAACUCCGUGCCAGCAGCCGCGGUAA
rnacentral:rRNA from 1 species